rnacentral:rRNA from 1 species
GAUGAACGCUGGCGGCGUGCCUAAUACAUGCAAGUCGAGCGAACAGACGAGGAGCUUGCUCCUCUGACGUUAGCGGCGGACGGGUGAGUAACACGUGGAUAACCUACCUAUAAGACUGGGAUAACUUCGGGAAACCGGAGCUAAUACCGGAUAAUAUAUUGAACCGUAUGGUUCAAUAGUGAAAGACGGUUUUGCUGUCGCUUGUAGAUGGAUCCGCGCCUCAUUAGCUAGUUGGUGAGGUAAUGGCUUUGCAAGGCAAUGACGGGUAGCCGGCCUGACAGGGUGACAGGCAACAUGGGGACUGAGAGACGGCCCGGACGACUACGGGAGGCAGCAGGGGGGAAUAUUGCACAAUGGGCGGAAGCCUGAUGAAGCAACUCCGCGUGCGGGAUGACGGCCUUCGGGUUGUAAACCGCUUUCGACGGUGACGAAGCGUGAGUGACGGUAAUGGGUAAAGAAGCACCGGCUAACUACGUG